GCGCACACACACACACACACACACACACACACACACACACACACAGAGAGAGAGAGGCACAAUUCACUAGCACACCAGGUGGAGGAGUUACAGCAAACACAUGUCAGGACAAAAGUGUCACCACAUCAAGUUCACAGUGGACCAGACUCUAACCAAGAUGUAGGUCACAGAUAGAAAGCUUUCUCAUCAAACAUUAUAGUCAGCAGUCAGGAGUGGCUUUGCCUCUGAUUCUGUCAGUCCUGGAUCAUCAGUGGCUUCUUCAGGCAGCAGUUGUAAAAGCUUUCCAUUGUAUGCUGAAUACUAAAGCAGUGUGUUUUUGAAUGUUGCUUAAAUGCAGAUUUAUCAGUCAAAGAGCUUCACAAAUCUCUGAAAUUCUACUUCUAACGCCUGUGAAAGGAGCUUGUUUUUAGAAAGUAUCACCUAAAGGAGCCAGUGACUGACCCAGGGAUAAUGUUCAAAACUGGAGGAGCUCAUCAG